GGCAGCUUCGUUGAAUUUAGUUCUUCCCCAUUGUUUGUGUUAAGAAAGAAUUUCUGGGGAAUUCAUGGGAAGAUACUUGAAAUUAAUGUGGAAUCGCGGUCAGUCAAGUCGUCUUUGUGAGUGUGUGCGUGCGACGGUGCGAGUGAGAAAGAGAGAUUCUCUAUCAGCAGGUCAGUCAGGGCAUCAUCUUUCUUUUAAAAAACCCUUUUUCUUUUGUUUGUUUAAUUUCACUUUGAUCGAUUGAUUCGAUCGGAAUCGAAGAAAGACUUUUGGAGAAUGAAUUCAAAGGUCGUGUGUGUGUGUGUGUGUGUGUGGCCUUGGAGUCUGGUCUGUCCUUUUACCGUAACCGCGUUUAAUCUUCUCACAUACUUUCUCCGCAAUACUGUAAUAUACUCCAUUAGAGCAGGUAACGCGUUCAUCUUCUCACAUUUGUGGUUCAUAUUAAUUCCUAAUUACUCGGCAAUGUGGGUCUCACUCAAAAUCUUAUAAUAUAUUUGUCAGUUUAACUUUUCAUUUCCAUGGUUAAUUAAUUAAUUAAGCUUGACUAUUUAUGGAACGCGUUUUUUAAUUUGGUUGUUAAGCUUGAUUGAAGUUUCCCUAUACUUUCUCUGUUGGUCGUCCAUCUACAUUUCCACACAUAUAUAUUGCCGCCGCUGUCAAGUGUGGAGUUCAAGUUACCAUCUGCUUCAAAUUUUAUACUACUAAAUAUCUAUCUAUCUGUCUGUCUGUCUAGCUAGCUAGGAGUCUGAUCAGUGCUUAAAUUGAUUUGAUGAUACCAAAACGAAACUUUACUGAUUCUUUUGAUCAAAAGGAGGAGGAGGAUCAGUCUCCAAAAAGGCGAUUUACGUUUGCAAAUCUUGUCAGGGAUGUUAUGAGAGCACACAUGUUGCACCAGACUUUGAUCAAAAUGGAAUCCUUUUUACGGAAAGUGGUGCAGGAAGAGGUAGAACGUGGAAUUGUAAACCAUUUCCAUACUCUACCAUCAUCAAUGACAAUGAAUGAUCAUCAAUUCGAGAGUGGUAGUGGAAGAACAUGCAGGCAGCUGCGUUUUCCUGAAAAAAUACCCCCAGUCUUGUUUACAAACAACAGGAUGGAAACGGAGGAUGGAAAACCAAUCAGGAUUGAGAUGUGGGAUGUUAAUUCUGAGAAAAUUGUUACGUCGGGCUCUCUAUCUUCUAUCAAGGCUGAGAUUAUGGUGAUGGAUAGCGAUUUUGAGCCGGAGGAGUUAGAAGAAGGAGAUUGGACGGAAGAGGCUUUUAAAUCCAAGAUUCAACGGGAAAGAGAAGGAAAGAGGCCAUUGCUGACUGGGGAAUUGACAACUUGGUUGAAGAAUGGAGUUGGUUACUUUGGUGAUGUCAGUUUCAGCGACAACUCAAGCUGGGUAAGAAACAGGAAGUUCAGAUUGGGUGCAAGAGUUGUUCCAAACGUAUCCACCAAAACAACAAGGGUCAGAGAAGCCAUCAGCCAAGCGUUUGUAGUCAAAGAUCAUCGCGGAGAAUGCCAGAAGAAACAUUUUCCUCCAAAAUUGGUGGACGAAACAUGGCGUUUGAAAAAGAUUUCAAAGGAUGGAAAGUUCCAUAAGAGACUGACUUCAAAAGGGAUUAUUACAGUAAAAGAUUUUCUGCAGUCAUAUUACACAGAUCAGUCCAAUUUGCGGCAAUUACUUGGAGGAGGUGCGAACACGAGCAAAACGUGGGAGACAAUAGUAGAACAUGCUAAUACAAAUACCUGUACUUUAAACAACGCUGCUCAAAAUUACGUAUACUAUAAGGAGGUGGGGGAGGCAUUAGUGGGGCUGAUUUUCAAUUGUGUGUACAAGAAUGUGGGAGCGAGUUUCGAUGGCGGACAGAAUUGGGUGUCAUUGGAGAACCUCAAUGCACAUCAGAUGGUGGAGGGUGGUAGAAAGAUUGAAGUGUGAUGCAUAUAAGAAUAUAAAUCAAUUUUCUCCGGUUGAUAUUGGAUUUGUGUCAAACAUACAACAAUGUGAGCUGACAGAUCCAUUCAACAAACAGAGUAGUUUGGAUGAGCUGAAGAAUGUGCAAACAAUAUUGGUACCGGGUUCUAAUGAGAAUGGGAUUAAUUAUAAUUUGUUACCUUUGAGCACUACUAGUUACAUGAACCAGGCUGGAGAUCCUAUUUAUGAUGAUUGGGCUGCUCUAGAU